rnacentral:rRNA from 1 species
CGUGAAGUCGGAAUCGCUAGUAAUCGCGGAUCAGCAUGCCGCGGUGAAUACGUUCCCGGGCCUUGUACACACCGCCCGUCACACCAUGAGAGUCGGGAACACCCGAAGCCCGUAGCCUAACUUUAACGAGAGGGCGCGGUCGAAGGUGGGUUCGAUAAUUGGGGUGAAGUCGUAACAAGGUAUC